rnacentral:rRNA from 1 species
UGGGGAAUAUUGCACAAUGGGCGCAAGCCUGAUGCAGCGACGCCGCGUGAGGGAUGAAGGCCUUCGGGUUGUAAACCUCUUUCAGUAGGGACGAAUCGAAAGUGACGGUACCUACAGAAGAAGGACCGGCCAACUACGUGCCAGCAGCCGCGGUAAUACGUAGGGUCCGAGCGUUGUCCGGAAUUACUGGGCGUAAAGAGCUCGUAGGUGGUUUGUCGCGUUGUUCGUGAAAACUCACAGCUUAACUGUGGGCGUGCGGGCGAUACGGGCAGACUAGAGUACUGCAGGGGAGACUGGAAUUCCUGGUGUAGCGGUGGAAUGCGCAGAUAUCAGGAGGAACACCGGUGGCGAAGGCGGGUCUCUGGGCAGUAACUGACGCUGAGGGGCGAAAGCGUGGGUAGCGAACA